UGCCUCUGUGCUGGGAGCUGAGAGUCUCCACCUGUCUGCUCUUCCUCUCAGUGGCUCCAGGCUCUGCACCCUGGAGUUUAUGCAUGCAGAGAGAGCACCAGCUACAUUUCCACAGGAUCAGCUGGAACCUCAGCAACCUGGAGCCCACAUCCUCGGAGUACACCGCCCUGCAGAGAGACACCCAGGACCAGGUCACCAAGCUCUACAGAGGCAGCCAGCUGUGAGACAUAUUCCACUCCUGCCUGGUCACCGACUUGAUAAUAUUCUCCCAACAGAGAUGACACCUUUAUUGUGAAACCUGGUAAGCCUGCAGGAAGCCCCAGCCCAGGGUAGGAGGCGAGUAUCUUGAUGU